rnacentral:rRNA from 1 species
AACGUAGGAGACAAACGUUAUCCGGAGUUACUGGGCGUAAAGGGCGUGUAGGUGGUUUCGUAAGUCUGGCGUGAAAUUUCUCGGCUUAACCGAGGCAGGUCGUCGGAUACUGCGGAACUUGAGGACGGUAGAGGCGUGUGGAAUUCCGGGUGUAGUGGUGAAAUGCGUAGAGAUCCGGAGGAACACCAGUGGCGAAGGCGACACGCUG